CGCUGAUUUCUUUCUUUUUUUUUUUGCACAGUACAGCAUUGCAUUCUGCAGCCUGAUUGACAAAUCUCCUCCGUGCUGUGUCUCCUGCGCUUGUCAAAUUUAUCAUGUUUUGUUUUGAUAACCAUCACAUCCAAUAGAUAAAACAGCACAAAAACACCCAUAACUAUGACCCUCAUUCGGAAAUAGACACCUGCACCGCGAGGGAAAAAGGCGCACGAAAGUGGCAGGCAGAUGAAGACAAAACACGGCAUAAUACUUUUACGUUUUGCAAUCUACAAAGAACCAACUGAUUCUGCAGCAGAGCAUCCCCUGUUGCUUCUCCUUGCUCCCCAGUCCCUGAGCUCCUGCUGCUGCACCCACAGGCCCAGAGAGGAGGACAGCUCCGAGGCAGAUGAGGGACGGGUCCCAGGACGGUCCAUCGGUGGUGGAGCUGGCCAUCCUGGUGUCCCUGAAGAGGCCACGCCAGUCUGCAAUGGAGCAUUUCCUCCUCAGCCUUGUUCCUGCUCUGGAGAGCAGCUGGGUCCUUUUUAUUCCUGUCUCUGUAAAUACUUAUAUUUUAUAUAUUUAUGUUUAAUGUUUUUCUGUUUGAGAAUUUUAAUAUUAUUUCAAAUAAAUUUUUAUAAUGACUAAUGUCUCAGUUCUACUACACUGCAAAUGUUGGCACACGACUUGACACAUGUAGAAUUUAUUUCAUAUUAUACUAAUGACAAAAUAUACUAAUACAGUGGGAUGCAAAAGUUUGGGCAACCUUGUUAAUAGCCAUUAUUUUCCUGUAUAAAUCGUUGGUUGUUACAAUAAAAAAUGUCAGUUAAAUAUAUCAUACAGGAGACACACACAGUGAUAUUUGUGUUAAAUGUGAUAAAUCAAGCAGGUGCAUAAAUUUGGGCACCACAAAAAAAGAAAUGGAAUAAAUAUUUAGUGUAUAUCAAUGUGUGUGUCUCCUAUGUGAUAUAUGGGGUGCCUUUGUCUGGACGUGCUUCCCAUCCAGAGCUCCACAGCAGAGAGGGAAGUUCCAGCACUCCUGGAAUCCCUCUGUGAUGGACCGCC
ensembl:lncRNA